CCUACGGGAGGCUGCAGUGGGGAAUAUUGCGCAAUGGGCGAAAGCCUGACGCAGCGACGCCGCGUGAGGGAUGAAGGUCUUCGGAUCGUAAACCUCUGUCAGCAGGGAAGAACGGUCACUGUACUAAUCAGCAGUGAAUUGACGGUACCUGCAAAGGAAGCACCGGCUAACUCCGUGCCAGCAGCCGCGGUAAUACGGAGGGUGCGAGCGUUAAUCGGAAUUACUGGGCGUAAAGCGCUCGUAGGCGGGAUGUCAAGUCAAGGGUGAAAGACCCGCGCUCAACGUGGGAACUGCCUUUGAAACGGGGAAACUGGAGUGUGGGAGAGGAUGGUGGAAUUCCAGGUGUAGGGGUGAAAUCCGUAGAUAUCGGGAGGAACAUCAGGGGCGAAGGCGACUAUCUGGCACAUAACUGACGCUGAGGAGCGAAAGCGUGGGUAGCAAACAGGAUUAGAUACCCGGGUAGUC
rnacentral:rRNA from 1 species